UACGUAGGGUGCGAGCGUUGUCCGGAAUUACUGGGCGUAAAGAGCUCGUAGGUGGUUUGUCGCGUUGUUCGUGAAAACUCACAGCUUAACUGUGGGCGUGCGGGCGAUACGGGCAGACUGGAGUACUGCAGGGGGAGACUGGAAUUCCUGGUGUAGGCGGUGGAAUGCGCAGGAUAUCAGGAGGAACACCGGUGGCGAAGGCGGUCCACGUGG
rnacentral:rRNA from 1 species